rnacentral:rRNA from 1 species
GUGCCAGCCGCCGCGGUAAUACAGAGGGUGCAAGCGUUAAUCGGAAUUACUGGGCGUAAAGCGCACGUAGGCGGUUGGUUAAGUUGGAUGUGAAAGCCCCGGGCUCAACCUGGGAAUUGCAUUCAAAACUGGCCAACUAGAAUACGGGAGAGGGGGGUAGAAUUCCAAGUGUAGCGGUGAAAUGCGUAGAGAUUUGGAGGAAUACCAGUGGCGAAGGCGGCCCCCUGGCCCGAUAUUGACGCUGAGGUGCGAAAGCGUGGGGAGCAAACAGGAUUAGAUACCCGCGUAGUCC